rnacentral:rRNA from 1 species
UACGGAAGGACAGCAGUGGGGAAUAUUGCACAAUGGGCGCAAGCCUGAUGCAGCCAUGCCGCGUGUAUGAAGAAGGCCUUCGGGUUGUAAAGUACUUUCAGUCGUGAGGAAGGUGUUAAGGUUAAUAACCUUAGCAAUUGACGUUAGCGACAGAAGAAGCACCGGCUAACUCCGUGCCAGCAGCCGCGGUAAUACGGAGGGUGCGAGCGUUAAUCGGAAUUACUGGGCGUAAAGGGCACGCAGGCGGUUAAUUAAGUUGGAUGUGAAAUCCCCGGGCUUAACCUGGGAAUGGCAUUCAAGACUGGUUAGCUAGAGUCUUGUAGAGGGGGUAGAAUUCCAUGUGUAGCGGUGAAAUGCGUAGAGAUGUGGAGGAAUACCGGUGGCGAAGGCGGCCCCUGGACAAAGACUGACGCUCAUGUGCGAAAGCGUGGGGAGCA